AUGGAUGAAUUGCAUGAGAUGGAAAGAAGACAGCGUUUGGAUGUUUUGACAUGUUCGCUUGAAAAACUUUGCGACCUCAGAUAUCUGCACAUGGAUUCUAACAUCAAAAUUAGUUAUGCAUUGAGUUCGCUAUUUCUUCAGAGGCUUCAUAUGCUGUGUCCGUUUCCGAAGGUUCCUAACGCGAUUGGAGAGCUCCAUAACCUCUUUGACCUUGAUCUCACAAUUGAGGUGUUGGAAGAUGAUAUUGUAAUCCUUGCGCAGUUGCAAUCUCUUAACCGCCUUAAAUUGCACAUCGAAGGGAAACCUGAAACUGAAGAGAAGGUAGUCAUUUGUAGAAAGGGAUUCCCUGUUCUCAAGCAUUUCUGGCUAUUCUGCGUCAGGAUGUCACAACUGACUUUUGAGGCAGGGACAAUGCCCAAUCUUGAAAAGCUCGAGGUAAGAAUCAAUUCGCCGUACGGUGCUGCACCUACGGGCAUCGAGCACCUAUUAGGCCUCAAGGAAAUCCUUGUAAUUAUUGGGGGAUGUGGUGACGAGGGAUCCUGCAGUACAAGAGCUGCACUGUCAGCGUUAAGGAAGGCCAUUGAUAUGCGCUCAAGUCGUCCUACAGCUAACAUUAAGUGUAUUGACAGUUGGCUGUCCCUUGGGCACCUACCCGAUGGCUUCAGCUGGAGGAAGUACGGCCAGAAAGAUAUCCGUGGCGCCAAGCACCCAAGAGGUUACUACCGUUGCACGUUCCAAAAGUCGCAGGGGUGCUCAGCGACGAAGCAUGUGCAGCGCACAGAUGAUGACCCGAUGCUCUUCCAAGUCGUGUAUCAUUGA
rnacentral:rRNA from 1 species